UACGUAGGGGGCAAGCGUUAUCCGGAUUUACUGGGUGUAAAGGGAGCGUAGACGGCUGUGCAAGUCUGAAGUGAAAGGCAUGGGCUCAACCUAUGGACUGCUUUGGAAACUGUGCAGCUAGAGUGUCGGAGAGGUAAGUGGAAUUCCUAGUGUAGCGGUGAAAUGCGUAGAUAUUAGGAGGAACACCAGUGGCGAAGGCGGCUUACUGGACGAUGACUGACGUUGAGGCUCGAAAGUGUGGGGAGCAAACAGG
rnacentral:rRNA from 1 species